AGCAGAAAUUUUGCAAAGACCAUAGCAAAAUAACCUUGAUAUUUAAUCCACUGGGGCUAGUAAUUUAGGGAUCGGUUCAAAUAUACUUGUAUUUAAAUUCUGUAGAUUUCAGUCAAAACUAAGGUCAAUUUUAAACUUUUAGUAAAAAAUGCAAUAUUUAAACAAAACCAUGAAUAUAAUAAUGCAAAAUUAAAAAAAAAAGACACCAUUGGAAAAGAGUAACAGUAAAAUAUGGAAACAUCAAAUUUCUGGUAUAAAAAAAAAAAAAAAUGAAUUACCGAGUAUCUUCGAUUUUACAGGAUCAUUCCAGAACAUAGAGGAGCACUGUAAUUUAAUCCAAAAGGCUGUUACUUGCUUUGAAUGUUUUCAUUGAAUCAAGGUUUUUUUUUCCCAGCCUUGUUUCUGAAAGCAGUCUCGAUGAGAUUAUCAAACAAAACAUUAAUGUUGCUAGUAUCCAAUCUACGAAGUAUACCCUAUCUACGCUAACGCUAACCUGGAUGGUUUUUAUCGCCGAAUAGAAGGAUUUUCAUUAAAACUGAAAAAUACAGAUGAAAAUCGUAUGAAAUUUAAUGCUAACCAUAAAACGAUAUCUCCGAUGCAUUUUAAAUUAAAGAUCAUUAAUGCAAAGAAUAAUUCAUCUUUCACUUUUUUUCAAUUCUCGGGGGGCCCCCUCAAUCGGGGGGCCCGGGGCACUUGCCCCCUCGGCAACCCCCCCCAAAUCCGGGCCUGAUCGCAACCAUCGCAACAGAUGGAGAGUUUGUCUAGCAAAAAUACUGAAGGAGUAGCAAUUCUUUAUUUGCUCUUUUGUAAAUUUUGAAUGGUAAGUUUCAUAUUGAUUUGAUAACGCAGUUUGAUUGGAUUGUUCUUCUUUCAGUUUGCAAAAUGAUUCACCCGAGGUUCACCAAUGGUCUUGUUUCAAGAGAAUUGAAGUGGCAUCUUACAUAUGGUUGGGAUCAAAGCUUAGAGAUAAAGAUAUUAUUGACAAUGGAAAGAAAUCGAUGAACUUUCAAGGACACCAACCCAAAAACUCCGUGAACGCCAAAGUACUAAGAAAGAUACUAGGCUCUCUCAUUGUUGAACAAAAAAAUAAUCUCGAAAUUAUUACAUGUUACUAAUGAAUGAAUUAAUUGAAAUAAAUGUUAAAAACAUGACAAUUAAAGAAAAUUUCGUUAUUUGUUAGAUACUAUGUGUCAACUAUUCAAAGUAUCAAUAAAAAAUACAUUGGAUGCACUCAGAAGAUACAAGUUUUGCAAAUAUAUAUUAUAUUAGACUAUGAUAGCAUAUACUAGAUAUGCAAAUGUUGUUCACCUACGCUCACGACUCGUAGAUCGUAUUUGUUUUGCAUAUUACAUGGACAUGGAUGCAGAAAAGUCAUCUCAUAUGUUAUGCAUAUAACUUCAAACACACAGUUUCAUGCUGUGGCGACUUUCAUAUGAAAAUCUAAUAGUGCAGAUUUAUAUGACUAC